GUUUCCUAAGGUAUUCAUGUUCACUGUUUCCUAAGGUAUUCAUGUUCUCUGUUUCCUAAGGUAUUCAUGUUCUCUGUUUCCUAAGGUAUUCCUGUUCUCUGUUUACUAAGAUAUUCAUGUUAACCGU